rnacentral:rRNA from 1 species
CUAAGAUUCCUUUAGUAGCGGCGAGCGAAACAGGAUUAGCCCAGCACUAAGCCCUCCGGUCGUUCUGGCCGGUAGGGGAUGCAGUGUAUGGAAGGUCUAUUAUCUUAUGCGACGGUAGUACGUUCAAGUCCAUCUUGAAUGGGGCCAUUUACCCAUAGAGGGUGCCAGGCCCGUACCAACUGCUACCAGUAUAAGAAGGCUUUUCCGAAGAGUCGUGUUGCUUGAUAGUGCAGCACUAAGUGGGUGGUAAACUCCAUCUAAGGCUAAAUAUAACCACGAGACCGAUAGCGAACAAGUACCGUGAGGGAAAGUUGAAAAG